rnacentral:rRNA from 1 species
GAUGAACGCUGGCGGCGUGCCUAAUACAUGCAAGUCGAGCGAAUGGAUUAAGAGCUUGCUCUCUGAUGGCGAGUGGCGAACGGGUGAGUAAUGCAUCGGAACGUACCGUGUAAUGGGGGAUAACGUAGCGAAAGUUACGCUAAUACCGCAUACGACCUGAGGGUGAAAGCAGGGGAUCGCAAGACCUUGCGUUAUACGAGCGGCCGAUGUCAGAUUAGCUAGUUGGUGAGGUAAAGGCUCACCAAGGCGACGAUCUGUAGCGGGUCUGAGAGGAUGAUCCGCCACACUGGGACUGAGACACGGCCCAAACGCCUACGGGAGGCAGCAGUGGGGAAUUUUGGACAAUGGGGGCAACCCUGAUCCAGCCAUGCCGCGUGAGUGAAGAAGGCCUUCGGGUUGUAAAGCUCUUUCGGCCGGGAAGAAAUCGCACAGGCUAAUACUCUGUGUGGAUGACGGUACCGGCAUAAGAAGCACCGGCUAACUACGUGCCAGCCGCCGCAGUAA